AUGAUCCCGCGUGAUCAUGAAGGAGUAGUCAUCUUCGCCGCGACGAGGGUGCUCUUUAAUUGUGGUGAUCCACUAGAAGCAGAGAUGGCGGCCAUGGACGAAGGGCUUCGACUUGCGCUUCACUGGUCCAACUUGUCAUUGGUUGUGGAGACGGACUGUGCUGAUCUGUUGAAGAUGGUGCAAUCUAAAGAUGUUGAGUGUUCGAGUUAUUCCCUUCCACUAGUAGUCCAGAGGGGAAGAAACUUGUCAGCUGACCAGAUAAGCACUACUUCAGUUCACUAA
rnacentral:rRNA from 1 species